rnacentral:lncRNA from 1 species
CUGUGAUUAUGCCACUGCACUCCACCCCAGGCAACGGAGUGGGACCCUGUCUCCAAAACAAAACACAAAAAACCCCACACGGGUCACUCUUCACUGUUUUACUUACAAGUGGACGAAGGGCAUAAACAAUUAAACAUAAUGAAACUGACCCAUAAACAUAUGUAAAAAUACUCAACUACACUAAUAAUCGAAAAGUAUAAUUAAAACAAUGAAACGGUCAAGCGUCUACUUAAUUGCAAAGGUAUUUUCAAAUGGCAAUGCCCAGGGCUGGCAGCCGAGCCAGGAAAAAGCCUCCCUCAGACCCCACGAGCGGGCACAUAAAAUGGGACAAACUUCCCAAACAGCAAUUUUGCAAAACGUGCCAAUUCCCCUAAAGGUUAUUUAUUAUUUAUCCAGUUAUUUCUAUCACUUCCAGAAACCAUACUGAGAAAAUAACCAGAAAUCUGAACAAAGAUUUAUACACUGUCUCAUCAUAACAUGAGUUAUAAUAUUAAAAAAUCAGAAGCAACCUAAAUGUCUAAUAGCACAAAAGUGGUUAAAUUAUUGGUAAUUCCCAAUAAUGAAAUAUAUGCAUGUAUUUCCAAAGAGUCUCCUGAAAAAGGAGAUGAGAUCAGGAAACAUGCCUGACCGUGAGGAAGCCAUGAUUGCACAUAGUAUUUGGCCCUUUCUUUUCUAAGUAGUUGUAAGUCAAUUAUUUUAAAAUUCUAGUUCUCUUUCUAAAUACAGAAGCAAAGCAGCCCAUGAUAGAUGCCGUGCUGAGGCUCCUCUCCCUAGGCAGCACUGCAUCAGGAAUAAUCCCACACUCAGCAUCCUUGGAAUGAGAAGUAUAAAGAGGAGGAGAAGUUCAUCUCAGAACUUCAAAAAGACCUGCGCUGAAAUCCUCGACUCUACUGCGCUAUGCAGGAGGAGUCUUAGACCCACUUGAUUGAUGAAAACACUCAGACUCAGACCAGGAGCAGACAGGUAGAGAGCCGUGGAACCAGCUUGGAGAAAGCAAUUCCACCCCUAGGAAUCAACACCAGAGACAUAUUAGAUACAUGUUCCCAAAAAGACAUGCGAGCUGUGGUCCCAGCACUUUGGGAGGCCGAGGCGGGCAGAUCACAAGCUACUGGCUUAGAGCUCCCACCUCCAGAAGGCCUUUCUCCGUCCGGCCCAUCCAGCCACCACCACCUCACACCCUGCCUCCUGCACUGUCAUCCAUCUGCCCUGAUAGACUGGAAAACACCUUCAACGCAGGAAUUACUCCCCAUGGUAUCCGCAGCACUUAGCCCAGUGCCCAGCACAGAGAAGGGGCUCGAUGAUAGUAGCUGAAUGACUAAAUUCUAUACAUCAGUCACUUGUGAAUUCAUUGUCCAUCCUCCGCCCUGCUCCCGCAACCACUCCACCUGAGCACACAGAUCUUCGUCCAGCCACCAUGGACUCCACAGCCCAUCCAGCUAGGAGCUCAGCCAAGUCUCUGGUGCAGAACAGACACCAUCUCAAUGUCCAGCUGCAGAAUUCCUGAAAUCGCUACCUUGUUACUCAAGGGCAGAUCAUGACUGCACUGUGCUUUUCACUCAGCU